rnacentral:lncRNA from 1 species
AGACCGACAACCUGCGCGUUCUGACCACCGGCCUGAUUAACACACAAUGAGUCCUUCUAGAGGGUGUACAAUGAUUAUCAGGCCAUGCUAUCCACUCCGAUGACGCGACAUCACAAACCAGAAAAAAAGGGCGUUCGCAGAACAAGACGAUGACACCGUCGUACGUGUCCUCGCCACCGCCAACAACAGUCCCACAACGAACAGCAACGAGAACCUGGG